rnacentral:rRNA from 1 species
UCAGGACGAACGCUGGCGGCGUGCUUAACACAUGCAAGUCGAACGGAAAGGCCCUGCUUUUGUGGGGUGCUCGAGUGGCGAACGGGUGAGUAACACGUGAGUAACCUGCCCUUGACUUUGGGAUAACUUCAGGAAACUGGGGCUAAUACCGGAUAGGAGCUCCUGCUGCAUGGUGGGGGUUGGAAAGUUUCGGCGGUUGGGGAUGGACUCGCGGCUUAUCAGCUUGUUGGUGGGGUAGUGGCUUACCAAGGCUUUGACGGGUAGCCGGCCUGAGAGGGUGACCGGCCACAUUGGGACUGAGAUACGGCCCAGACUCCUACGGGAGGCAGCAGUGGGGAAUAUUGCACAAUGGGCGGAAGCCUGAUGCAGCAACGCCGCGUGCGGGAUGACGGCCUUCGGGUUGUAAACCGCUUUCGCCUGUGACGAAGCGUGAGUGACGGUAAUGGGUAAAGAAGCACCGGCUAACUACGUGCCAGCAGCCGCGGUGAUACGUAGGGUGCGAGCGUUGUCCGGAUUUAUUGGGCGUAAAGGGCUCGUAGGUGGUUGAUCGCGUCGGAAGUGUAAUCUUGGGGCUUAACCCUGAGCGUGCUUUCGAUACGGGUUGACUUGAGGAAGGUAGGGGAGAAUGGAAUUCCUGGUGGAGCGGUGGGAUGCGCAGAUAUCAGGAGGAACACCAGUGGCGAAGGCGGUUCUCUGGGCCUUUCCUGACGCUGAGGAGCGAAAGCGUGGGGAGCGAACAGGCUUAGAUACCCUGGUAGUCCACGCUGUAAACGGUGGGUACUAGGUGUGGGGUCCAUUCCACGGGUUCCGUGCCGUAGCUAACGCUUUAAGUACCCCGCCUGGGGAGUACGGCCGCAAGGCUAAAACUCAAAGGAAUUGACGGGGCCCCGCACAAGCGGCGGAGCAUGCGGAUUAAUUCGAUGCAACGCGUAGAACCUUACCUGGGUUUGACAUGGAUCGGGAGUGCUCAGAGAUGGGUGUGCCUCUUUUGGGGUCGGUUCACAGGUGGUGCAUGGCUGUCGUCAGCUCGUGUCGUGAGAUGUUGGGUUAAGUCCCGCAACGAGCGCAACCCUUGUUCACUGUUGCCAGCACGUUAUGGUGGGGACUCAGUGGAGACCGCCGGGGUCAACUCGGAGGAAGGUGGGGAUGACGUCAAGUCAUCAUGCCCCUUAUGUCCAGGGCUUCACGCAUGCUACAAUGGCUGGUACAGAGAGUGGCGAGCCUGUGAGGGUGAGCGAAUCUCGGAAAGCCGGUCUCAGUUCGGAUUGGGGUCUGCAACUCGACCUCAUGAAGUCGGAGUCGCUAGUAAUCGCAGAUCAGCAACGCUGCGGUGAAUACGUUCCCGGGGCUUGUACACACCGCCCGUCAAGUCAUGAAAGUUGGUAACACCCGAAGCCGGUGGCCUAACCGUUGUGGGGGAGCCGUCGAAGGUGGGACUGGU